rnacentral:rRNA from 1 species
UACGGGGGGGCAAGCGUUGUUCGGAAUUACUGGGCGUAAAGGGCUCGUAGGCGGCCAACUAAGUCAGACGUGAAAUCCCUCGGCUUAACCGGGGAACUGCAUCUGAUACUGGAUGGCUUGAGUUCGGGAGAGGGAUGCGGAAUUCCAGGUGUAGCGGUGAAAUUCGUAGAUAUUCGGAAGAACACCAGUGGCGAAGGCGACUUACUGGACACAUAUUGACGCUGAGGUGCGAAAGCGUGGGGAGCAAACAGG